UAUUCUCUAUAUAUACCUCGUCCCCCUCUUCUCUCUAUAUACCUCGUCCCGCUCUGCUGGUAUCGGUCAUAGCUUUUCGUUGAAUUAGGGUUGCGUAAAGGAGGAGGAGGAGGAGAUCGAAGCGGGGACCGUGUUUUCUACGAUGCCGAGGAGAUCUCCAUCUCUGUCGGCAUCAAAGCUGAUCUUCUCCCCCGACAUUUGAGGAUGAGAAGGCCAUAAUGAUGACAGGACAUUCACAAGAAAAAGAGCAAAAACCAUGACCUAGUAGGUUGAUGGUUGAGAUCUAUAAUUCUGAAUGUUGCUUGAGAAAGAAGCUUGAAACCAAGGAUUUUUGUACUUCACCUUCAAGACAUGUUGGGCACACAUCCUCCUCUUCAGAUGAG